rnacentral:misc_RNA from 1 species
CUAAGGCCUUUGAGUCCCUACGUUUGACCGAAUCCCAUUUUUGGAAUGGACAUCGUCACCCCUCCAGAGCAGCUCUCCUAGUUGUAUGACUCCAUCUUUGAAAAGUCUGAUUGUGAUACGAUUGAUCUUGAUGAGUUGCUGAUGGUUUGGGCUCAGGACCCAUCCAGAUGGCUCUUGAAGACGAUGAUCAAGUUUUCUCAAGAAAGCUGCUGAUCUUGAAGCCACUAAAGCUUCACUAGCCUCUCCAGCUUAAUUAUACCUGCUGUUAUUCUUACUUGUACUCUCAAACAUUGUAGCUUGGGUUGCCCAUAACAGAAUGGCAUAACUAUUACUUCAACUGCAAUCCGAG